rnacentral:misc_RNA from 1 species
GAUGAAGAACGCAGCGAAAUGCGAUAAGUAAUGUGAAUUGCAGAAUUCAGUGAAUCAUCGAAUCUUUGAACGCACAUUGCGCCCCCUGGUAUUCCGGGGGGCAUGCCUGUCCGAGCGUCAUUACAACCCUCAAGCUCAGCUUGGUAUUGGGCCCCGCCGACCCGGCGGGCCCUAAAGUCAGUGGCGGUGCCGUCCGGCUCCGAGCGUAGUAAUUCUUCUCGCUCUGGAGGUCCGGUCGUGUGCUCGCCAGCAACCCCCAAUUUUUUACAGGUUGACCUCGGAUCAGGUAGAGAUACCCGCUGAACUUAAGCAUAUCAAUAAGCGGAGGA